rnacentral:rRNA from 1 species
UAGGGAAUCUUCCACAAUGGGCGGCAAGCCUGAUGGAGCAACACCGCGUGAGUGAAGAAGGGUUCGGCUCGUAAAGCUCUGUUGUUGGAGAAGAACGUGCGUGAGAGUAACUGUUCACGCAGUGACGGUAUCCAACCAGAAAGUCACGGCUAACUACGUGCC